rnacentral:lncRNA from 1 species
AUGUUUUUAUUUCAUUAGAGGAAUGGUUGAAGAAGUCAAGAGUAUGUUUUUACAACAGAAGCAUUAUCGCCGCCAUUACUGGGAGACAUAAUUUAUUGCCCAAAUAAGGACACUUUUACAAGUGAAAUGAAGAGUUUUAAUAAUUACAGUGGGGUUACAGGAGUAAAUGUAAACCUUUCUGGACGUAUCAGGACAUCUGGUCAAUCAAGCCAUUAUAUAUUUGAAUACUCUCCUGUGGAAAAGGAAUCAAAAACGAGACAAAGCAACAAACGGCAAAAAUGAGGCAAAGAUAGUUUAACGCCUGGCACAGAAGAGGCAAUUAAAAAAAAAAACAUUAAAUGAAAUCUCAGGAUGGAGGAUGUUUAUAAAAAGGUCGAGAAGUUGUAAGAUCUUCACUUCUGAAAAGUUUUAUUCAGUCUCUCUAAAUAUAUUUCUCCUCUCUUCUCUUCUCUUCUCUCUCUCUCAUUCUCAAAAGAUGUUACAAAAAUAGAGAGGUCAGAAAGAAAAUAACCCUUCUUCUGUGAAAAUAACCCUUCUUCUCUUUCAUUACAAAAAUAAAUUCACCAUGAUGUUCAUUACAACUGUGGACCCCCUGACUUAUGGAAUUCAUCCUUGGAACAUCUUUUACAUUAAGAAGAACAAUGGGGCAAAAAGGGAUUUCAGCACUGUCGGAUGUAUAUUACUCACAACCAUAGCUAUGUCAAAUAUCAUCUUAGCAAAAUUGAAAUAGAUUUUAAAGUCACAUUUAUCUUUAAAUACAUCAAGCAGUUCUGUAGAUUUUUUUUUUCAAGAAGAGAGAAACAUUCUCCAUAUUUCUCUUCUAAUGGUAUUCAAAUUAUUGUAAAAAGUUCUUUAAAUUUUACAUCUUUGCCACACUGCUGCCUCUGAGCUACAGUGUUGCAGUGAAACUUUAUGGCCCAUGAUUUCAGGUGCACAAUGAGUCCAGGCAAUGGAAAUUGCUAGUCGUCUGGUCACCUUUUUGGUCAAUAACAUGAACCAUUUGCUUUCACUCAUAGUUGCCAGUCCUUCACAGAGCUGCUGCUUGCUUGUCUCUGUUUUUUAAUUUCCGUGAAAUGGAAUGAAGAUGAGAAAAGCAUUAAGUGCUGCUAAAAAACUGCCUACAGUUCAGACUGUCCUUUUCUGGCAAAGAUAUUCUACUUACUUCAUCUGUCUUAUGAUCUGUGACACUGCUUCUUAGAGAGACCU